rnacentral:lncRNA from 1 species
AAAGGUGAAAAUCCCCCGACUCAGCAGUCCUGCUCCCAUCGGAGAAACGCGCCCCGAGACACUCGCAGAAACGCUUAGCACAGCACCAUUUGCCACAGUCUCAACCUGGAAAUGAUCCAAGUGCCGACAUCGUCUGCCUCAUGUUACAGUCUACGCAGGCAAUCCUACUGGAACUGAGUGGGGGCAAGGCGUCGUGUUUCUUACAUGCAGAACAUGGAGCUUCUUGAUUUGGUUCCACCAGCUCCCAUGUGCUCAGGGCCAUGGAAGCCAGAGUCCUUCACAGACAAGUGCGCCAUCUGCGAGGUUUCAUCGGCAGCCUUCCAGGGGUCCGGUUGAGGCAUCGAGACUGCUGUCUGUGUCUGAGGCCAGGGUGUGCUCAGUGGACAUGGAUGAGAUGUCAUUGAUGGAUGACGACUGAGAAGGAGUAGCCUUGCUGCUUACUGCUGCAUCUGUGCUAAGAAAACCAAACGGAGUAAAAUCUGAGGCACGGCAUCCUGCACGCCAGGCGUGGGGCUUCAGGCUACUUCUCCAUUCUGUGCUUGGUAGUUUCCGGAUCCUAAUGACCCACAGAACCAAGACUGCUCAACUACACUUUAAGCUUCUGGGAUUUUUCCUGGAGUCCUUUGUUAGUUCAGUUUCGAAAUCAGUCUUGGGCUUUCCCUACAAUAGUCCCCUGUUCUGCCCGCACCACGGGCAAUGUGUAUGUGGUCACAUAUGACCAUGUUGAUGACU